rnacentral:rRNA from 1 species
AACGAACGCUGGCGGCAUGCCUAACACAUGCAAGUCGAACGAGACCUUCGGGUCUAGUGGCGCACGGGUGCGUAACGCGUGGGAACUUGCCCUUAGGUUCGGAAUAACUCCCCGAAAGGGGUGCUAAUACCGGAUAAUGUCUUCGGACCAAAGAUUUAUCGCCUUUGGAUGGGCCCGCGUUGGAUUAGCUAGUUGGUAGGGUAAAAGCCUACCAAGGCGACGAUCCAUAGCUGGUCUGAGAGGAUGAUCAGCCACACUGGGACUGAGACACGGCCCAGACUCCUACGGGAGGCAGCAGUGGGGAAUAUUGGACAAUGGGCGAAAGCCUGAUCCAGCAAUGCCGCGUGAGUGAUGAAGGCCGUAGGGUUGUAAAGCUCUUUUACCCGGGAUGAUAAUGACAGUACCGGGAGAAUAAGCGCCGGCUAACUCCGUG